AUAUAUGGUAAUGGAUCCGACGAAGUGAGACGCGCGAUGAACAAGUCUUUCAUAGAAUCUGGUGGCACUGUCUUGAGCACCAAUUGGCAAGAAGUAGGACAAAAAACAGUCGAGAGAAAACCACCAGAUGGCAUGGAAUGGAAAUCUUGGCAGUCGUAACUGAUAAUUUCUUAAGUCUUUUUAAAUGGUCCUUAAAUAAACGAUUUCUUAAAUCGGAUUUUAUCAUCGUUUCUUGCAUGUAAUGAUCGUUUAAUUCUUAAAUAUCAUAUUUAUACAACAUUUUUUAUCAAUGUAUAACAAAAGGUAUACAAUAUAUAAUUUUACUCAAGUUAUUUCAUCUUUCCAUCACGUAACAAUUUAAUACUAAUUUGCACUUAUAAAAAUUUAUUUUAUAUUAUAAUUAAAUUUAUAAAUUAGCGCGUUUGCAUAUUAUAUAUUAUAUAUUAUAUCUUUAUGUAAAAUUUAACAAUAUUAUUAUGAUACAUAAUGUGUUCUAGUGAAAAUAAAUGCUCACAACAUAUGUUUACGUGUAAAAGUUAUAAAAAAUAGGGAGCGUUUUAGUAGGCAAGUGUACAGCGAGCACAGUUUCUCACUUUAUCAGAGAGUAAGCUUUGUGUCAAUCCUAAAACAAUAUUUCUAUCAAUAGCUUUUUCAAUAACUCACAAGUUCUAAUAAAAGUUACCCAUUGUAGUAAAUUUUCAUUGAUGUACAUAAAUUGUUAUUUAUGAAAAAUAUAAGAUCCACAUACAUAAA